rfam:Ovis aries breed Texel chromosome 7, whole genome shotgun sequence.
UCCCAAGUGGCUUAGAUGGUGAAGAAACUGCUUGCAAUGCAGGAGACCUGGGUUUCAUCCCUGGCUCGGGAA